UGGGAGCGGCGCCGCCGCUCGCGCCCGGUUCCCUGAGGCUCCAGGGCAACUUUGGGGCUGUAGGUUUGGGGAAAGCAGGCUGGCACCCUCAGGAAGACGGUCCCCUGCCUGAGGACGAGGUUUCCAGGAACCCAUCCACCCAGCCAUGCUGAGAAGAAGACCUAGAAACUCAUGGAGAGGAGUGGGGUCCCCUUGCCCUUGGCCAUGACUGAGCUCCCAGCUGGCAGCCACACCAACUUGCCAGCCAUGCAGUAACACAUCCUGACAGCAGAUUCUCCAACCCCAGUGAAGCUGCCCCAACUGACAUGACAUGGAACAGACAGCCUUCUCUGUUGAUUGCUGUUUGAGCUGAAAAUUCGUGAACUAAAGACCAGGCAUAAGAGACAGAAAUUGAAGACAUUAAGUACAUCCACCUCUUUUAUUUUGCCUCGAGUGCAACAUUUAUUCUGUGCAAAAAUGAGCGGGGAUGGCCCAUGGCAACAGGAGAAGCCAACCUUUGGCUCACUGGGAUGUCACUUCCGAUCUCGAAUGUGUCAUGAGGCAUUCAUUCAUGAGGCAAAUCAUCAAGGAAAUGUCAAAACAUCAG